UACGGGGGGGGCAAGCGUUGUUCGGAAUUACUGGGCGUAAAGGGCUCGUAGGCGGCCAACUAAGUCAGACGUGAAAUCCCUCGGCUUAACCGGGGAACUGCAUCUGAUACUGGAUGGCUUGAGUUCGGGAGAGGGAUGCGGAAUUCCAGGUGUAGCGGUGAAAUGCGCAGAUAUCAGGAGGAACACCGGUGGCGAAGGCGGAUCUCUGGGCCUUACCUGACGCUCAGGUGCGAAAGCUAGGGGAGCGAACAGG
rnacentral:rRNA from 1 species